ensembl:lncRNA
GCAAGCUCUCUGAAAGCAGCCAUUUGAAGUCAGGGAAAUCUGGGUCACUGACUUCAAUAGAAACUCUGAUUAAGGAGGGGAUGAUGCUCAGCUCCUGUACCUUUCACUCCUCCCUUCUGAUGCAGCUCUGCCUGGGGAUGGGCUGCUUUAUUCUGUGCUCGUGGGUGCUCUUCUGUCUCCAGUAAAACCAAUGCCAAAUUCCAAAAUCUAACAGCCUGAGCAUGUAAGAACAGCUAUUUCUAAACUAUCUUUUUGCAGCAUGCAAGCCAAGAGUGAAAAAGGAAGAGGAAUGGAGUGCAGAGAAAUAAACGGAAGGAUCAAGUUGUUUUUACCAUUGGCACCAGCUGGGAGUUGUCCUUAUUGAGGGGAAGGUCUGACUGAAAAACAGGCCAGCUAUUCCCUUAUCUCUCAUCUCAAUCCAGUUCUGUCAUCUGGCUGCUUACACCUACUGGGUCUGAAUAAUUCGCCAAGGCACCAAAGGCACGAGGUGCCUGGAACGGCCUCGAGAGUCUGGUUAAUGCUUUACGGGGGGAAGGCUGCUUUAAAAAGCAGAGCGGAGUAUUUGUUCCAAAACUGUAGUCACCACUGAGAGCCACACUUACUGAGUUCAAACCAGGUCGGCUGCCCAGGCAAGAACAUGUAUUUGAUCUACCCUGUCAUGGUAAAGGCUGCCUGCAAACUUUGGCAGAGAAAAUUAUUAAUCUUUCAACUCACAGCAUAUAAGCAAUGACUAGUAAUAUCUAUUUUUCUGAGAACUGGAAUGCCUUUUGGAACCACCCCAGAUUACUUAAGAGAAGUUCCUCUGCAUCACCCAAAAGCAGUUCCAAACCUGUCUCUCCCACAUUCAAUUAAACUUAAAAAAAAAAAUUUUAAAAUAAUGAAAAAAAAUAAAAAAGGCGGGACCAUGGUUCAUUCAACAGGCAUUUUUCGUCUUGCACGGAGCCCCAGCAGCUUGCUCAGCUGCACCCCACGGGGACAAUAAAUAUCCAUUUUUCAGUAAUUCAGUGGAAAGCCAAGUGAGGUUCUAGGCAGAACCUCUGCGGAGGGGAGGGAGGUGGGGGGCAGCCAUCGCUCCUCGGUGUCUGUCACCUUCUCUUCAAAGGCUGCUGCUUUUCAGCUCAGUUGGGUGUGGGUAUCUGAGUUCUCAUGUGGCUUUUCAUGGCCCUCCACGUUCUGCGUCACACAGCUGGAAAUGCACUGCCCUGUGAGGCCAGCCUGGGAACUUGCACUGCUUUGGGACAAAUCAGAACUAGAACAAAGGCUGAGUCAUGAGCCUUUUCCAAUUCUCUCCUCUUUAGUUUUUUGGGGGGUUGGUUUUUUGGGGUGUUAUUUGUUUUGUUUGUUUUGUUUUGGGUGGUUUUGUUUUUAAAAAAAAUUGUUUUACUUUAUUGGGUUUUUUGUUUGGUUUGGUUUUUGUUUUGUUUGUUUUGGUUUGGGGAUUUUGUGGGUUUUUUGGGUUUUUUUUUGUUUUUGUUUUUGGUUUUGGUUUUUUUUGUUGUUUUUUUUUUGGUUGGUUGGUUGGUUUUCAGUUGGUUUUGGGGUUUUUUUGAGCAUCUCACUCAAUCUUUACAUCCAUUGUUUUGGCUCCCAGAGGGCUGAAGUGGAGAUCCACUCAGUGGAUGAACCAGUGGGUAUUGAAGGUACUGUAAACCAUUUGCUUUUUCAGUCUGUCCUGUGCCUUGACCCGAACACUUGUUCUGCAUUAUUUAUCCUCUCCAUCUUGCAGCUUGUUCUCUGCCCGCCUACUUUUGCAACUCUUUUCUCCAGACAGAACAUAUUUAACAGAGCAAUGAAGUGACAGUAGCAGUUCAGCUGUGACCAUACAGAUACCUGACUAGAAGCUUUGAUCCCUCAGGUUUCAGAGAUCUCUCACUGCACAUACAGUACUGGUUUCCAUUUAACCCUGAGACAGAAAGAGAAAAACCCGAAUUCUGCAGACCAGUAUAUAUUUAAAUACACACAGAGUUCUAGAUCACAAGCUUGACUGUACAAAACCUGUCUCCCAGCAUGGGAGUGGGUGUCUCUCCAUCUAUCAGUAACCAUAAUUCUGCUGAGCCAUGAUUACUGC